rnacentral:rRNA from 11 species
CCUAAGGCGAGGCAGAAAUGCGUAGUCGAUGGGAAACGGGUUAACAUUCCCGUACUUGUUUAUAUUGCGAUGGAGGGACGGAGAAGGCUAGGCCAUCAGGGUGUUGGUUAUCCCUGUUUAAGGUUGUAGGCUGGUUGCUUAGGUAAAUCCGGGCGGCCCAGGCCGAGAGCUGAUGACGAGCUCAAGGAGAGAUCCGCGAGUGAAGUGGUUGAUGCCAUGCUUCCAAGAAAAGCUUCUAAGCUUCAGAUAUAAAGGAACCGUACUGUAAACCGACACAGGUGAUCAGGUAGAGAAUACUAAGGCGAUCGAGACAACCAUGGUUAAGGAACUCGGCAAAAUGCCCCCG